GUGAAGAACGCAGCGAAAUGCGAUAAGUAAUGUGAAUUGCAGAAUUCAGUGAAUCAUCGAAUCUUUGAACGCACAUUGCGCCCUUUGGUAUUCCUUAGGGCAUGCCUGUUCGAGCGUCAUUUGAAACCUCAAGCUCAGCUUGGUGUUGGGUGUCUGUCCCCGCCUCACCGCGGGGACUCGCCUCAAAAUCAUUGGCGGCCGGUACGUUGGCUUCGAGCGCAGCAGAAACGCGAACUCGAGGCCCGGCGGAUCGGCGACCAGAAGUCACUUCUUCACAGUUUGACCUCGGAUCAGGUAGGGAUACCCGCUGAACUUAAGCAUAUCAAUAAGCGGAGGA
rnacentral:misc_RNA from 1 species